GUCAGAUUGGUGGGGCCUUGUUGCUAGUUCAGUAUUGGGCAUGGGUCAGAUUCCCUUUUUUGUGCCCAAGGAUGGACCUCCCACCAGAUGGUGCAUAUGGCCCACCAUUUGCACCUUCUCCAUUGUCUAUUAAGACUGUGUGGGUUGUGAACACCUUGAAUAGCCCCGCCGAAAUCUGUCUGGUCCGGUACCGUCAGCUUUUAGAUUGUAUGCAUCCAAAGCAGGUGGUGUGGCAACCAUAUGAAACUGAAUUAGCCCACCUGCCUGCGUUUUGUGUCGCCGGAAGGGAUGUAUGGACGGCGAGGGUACCGCUUGUAUGUUUCUGGCUAGUAGAGAAACAUACACCGGACCGUGUUGUUCGUCAGUUCGGGAUGGUACAAGAACCCCCCCCAUAUGUUGAUACUGACGAAGCCCUUCAUGCCAUAGACUUGAGGGGGAAGAUGGAGGUGAAUUGGAGGGACAGACAUUAUGGCCAUAUCCGAGUAUGGAAUACUCGAGCACGAUCUCUAUGUCCUGGAGCAUGACUAGAGGGUGAUAUGUCGCCUGCUCAUCCAUACUUCGAUUGGUACGAUAGGGUGACUUGGAGGUUCGUCGACCACACUUCGGCUUCACUUAUUAUUAUGGUUGCCAGUCACAAGAAGUUGUUGAGACUUUAUACAGUAGGCAGUCUUGAGUACAACCAUAUUUCAGCUGUACUUAAGACAGUGGAACGCCUUCACCGUAUAACUGCUCGACUUCCGUUGGAAAAUAUCGAUGGGGCAAAUCCAGAAGCGCCAGAAGAUACUGGACGACCAAGCACGAGCUCAACUCGUGCCAGCCAUAGCCAUGGUCAGCGUGCUGCAUCCCAUCAGGUUGUCAGUAGGGCAGAUCUCCCUCCACCCCCACGUGCGUCUCCUGCCCCAGAGUUCCCUCCACCUCCACAUGCAUCUCCUUCCCCAGAGAUCCCUCCACAUACUGCUCAUGUAGUUUCUAACCUAGAUAUCUCUCUACCCACUACUCAUGCAUCUUUUCACCCCGAGAUCCCUUCACACACCUCACAUACAUUUUUUGAUCCUGCUCAUCUUUCAUUUACUCCACCAUCCUUUGAUCUCGGCCCUGAUUUCAAUCAAACCCCUCCUGUCAUGCACACGCAAUCCCCAUCGUACAACAUUCGUCAUAUAGACCAUGUACCGCCCCAUAGUCACUCCAUGUCAUUCAUGCCCACUCCUAGACUACAUAUAGAUCCCAUGAGUACGGGCACUCACAUUUCAUUUGCUACACCAUCCUCCCCCGCAGUUGUUGGGAGUCAAGCAAAACAACCAGCUGUGCAUGUUGAGAAUGAGCAGGUUGUUGGGUUACAGUCACCCCCACAAGGUCGACCUAAACGUACAAUGAAAGCACCUCCUUGUGGGACAGGUGGUCACAAAGCAGGACACAACGCUGGCCCCACGCAACGUGAGGAGCCUCACGAAGGAGAUGUAGUACCCCCUCCCCCACAUACCAGACACUAUACGAGACAGCAUAAGCGUAAAAUGCAUUAGGAUUAGCAUCCCAUAGAGAAACAAAGGAGGACACUCGAGAAUUGGAGUUUCUGACCCUAAGUGAUGAUCAGCACUUAGCUUAGAAAACACCUCACUCUUUCUAGGUUGGACCUGAAAAUGCUUCACAGGUUAUUUUGUCCAGUCCCGUACUGAAUGAAGGGGAGCUUGAGUCCUUGCUAAAUGAUCCCUCUUUGAAACCUCAAGUUUUGCCAACAUUUUUUGAUAUUCGUAAAGGAGUUGAUGGUUCCUUGGAAAAGACACUAAAUAUAUAUAGUGAAGCUGCUGAUGAAGCUGUUCGAAAUGGUUCCCAACUGCUUGUUCUGUCAGACCGUUCUGAUGUGCUGUGCCAUAUGUCCAUACUUGGCACUAGAAACAUGCCGACAGUGGCGUCUGAGUAAUAAAACCGUAAAUUUGAUGAGGAAUGGAAAGAUGCCUACUGUAACAAUUGAGCAGGCUCAAAAGAACUUUUGCAAGGCUGUUAAAACCGGUCUUCUCAAAAUUCUUUCCAAAAUGGGAAUCUCAUUGCUUUCUAGUUAUUGUGGUGCACAGAUAUUUGAGAUUUAUGGAUUAGGGAAGGAGAUUGUUGAUCUUUCAUUUUGUGGAAGUGUCUCAAAAAUUGGUGGAUUAACUUUUGAUGAGAUAGUCAAUCAGCGUGAGGCAGCCAGUAGCAACAUCUUCAGGCAGAAGGAGUUUAAUCUUCAAUCACUUGGUAUAGGUGGUCUAAGUGCAGAGUUUGCAGAUAUAUUUCGAAGAGCCUUUGCUUCGCGUGUUUUCCCUCCCCAUGUGACAAAUAAAUUGGGGAUUAAGCAUGUGAAGGGUAUGCUGCUUUAUGGGCCUCCUGGUACUGGCAAAACACUUAUGGCUCGUCAAAUUGGAAAAAUGUUGAAUGGAAGGGAACCAAAGAUUGUUAACGGCCCUGAAGUUUUGAACAAAUACCUUGGUGAAACUGAAAAGAAUGUUAGGGAUCUAUUUGCUGAUGCUGAGAAUGAUCAAAGAGCUCGAGGGGACCAAAGUGAUCUGCAUGUCAUAAUUUUUGAUGAAAUUGAUGCUAUUUGUAAGUCAAGAGGUUCAACUAGAGAUUGUACAGGUGUUCGUGACAGUAUUGUGAACCAGCUUCUUACAAAGAUUGAUGGUGUGGAGUCUUUAAAUAAUGUCUUGCUUAUUGGAAUGACAAACAGAAAAGAUUUACUUGAUGAGGCCCUUUUAAGACCAGGCCGCUUGGAGGUUCAAAUUGAGAUAAGCCUUCCUGAUGAGAAUGGUCGCUUAUAGAUUCUUCAAAUUCAUACAAACAAGAUGAAAGAGAGUUCUUUUCUUGCUCCUGAUGUGAACCUUCAAGAGCUUGCUGCUCGUACGAAAAACUAUAGUGGUGCCGAACUUGAAGGUGUUGUAAAAAGUGCAGUAUCUUAUGCUUUGAAUAGACAACUAAGUCUUGAUGAUCUCACCAAGCCAGUGGAUGAAGAGAGUAUUAAAGUUACCAUGGAUGAUUUUUUGAAUGCACUCCACGAAAUAAUUCCUGCAUUUGGAGCCUCCACUGAUGACCUUGAGCGGUGCAGACUGAAUGGCAUGGUGGACUGUGGUGAUCAAAAUAAGCACAUUUAUCAAAGAGCUAUGCUACUUGUGGAGCAAGUUAAAGUGAGUAAAGGAAGUCCGCUUGUUACUUGUCUUCUGGAAGGCCCAAGUGGCAGUGGUAAAACCGCACUAGCAGCUACUGUUGGCAUUGACAGUGAUUUUCCAUAUGUCAAGAUAGUCUCAGCAGAAUCAAUGAUUGGUCUUCACGAAAGCACUAAGUGUGCACAGAUUGUCAAGGUAUUUGAGGAUGCAUACAAGUCACCGCUGAGCAUCAUCGUUCUUGAUGACAUUGAAAGGUUAUUGGAGUAUGUUGCCAUUGGGCCUCGUUUUUCAAAUAUAAUCUCUCAGACACUACUGGUCCUACUCAAGCGGCUUCCUCCAAAGGGGAAGAAACUUAUGGUCAUAGGGACAACAAGUGAGCAGACAGUGUUGUAAAGGUAGCGUAACAACUUUAAACGUGGAUGUGCUUGAGCAGACAGUGUUGCCUCUUCAAAAUCAGCUUCUUACCCAUCUUGAAUCAAUGAAUCCGCUUCAACACGAGUCCAUGACAUAGGUGGUGGAAUCUACUUUUAUCGUUUUGGAUCGUCUAUUAGUUAAUUAUACACCUUUUCAAGAGCGUGUGAAGGAGUUCAUUGCCUGUGCAUCAUCAUUUGCUGAUAUAGAGUAGUCCAUCAACAACAAACAUUCUUUUCAAGAGUUGAUGGAGCGGUACCAUAGUGAGAAAGUAAGGUAUAUAAGCAAAGUGGCUACUAUAAGCAACAAUAGUGUAGCUGUGUAGCAUCUAUCCAUUUUGGCUAUAUAAUUUGAUUGUUUUUUAUAUGUAAUUUGUCACUUUGUUCCAUCCUUGGUUAAAUGGAUUGGAUUUAGCUAGAUCUUAUGUAUGAUCGUAUAGCCUUUUCAUAAUCAGUAUGUUGGUUUGCGUAAUGCUUUGUAUGUGAAUUGCAUAGCUUGUACAAGGAUUUUUCUAUGUACAGCUUUUAAAUUAUGUUGAGAUUUACCGAAAUGAUACUAAUUUGAUAAAUAAAAGUCAUCUAUUUCACCUUUUCUGUUC